AACCUUCCCAUAACUCCUGUUUUAACCCGCCGCUGAUCGCGAGAGUCCUUUCCCAUUAAAACCCCCCCGCCCACCAGCGCCGAGACACAGACACCAAAGCCGUCUCUGAGAAGAAGAGAGGGAGAGAGAGAGAGAGAGAGAGAGCUCGGUCGGUGGAGGCGACGACGACGACGCGCGCACUGCGGCCGCCAUGGAGGAGAGAAUACCUCUGCUCUCGAAACGAUUCCCGGCGGACGGCACCGCCGGAGUGGGAGGAGGGAGGGAGGAGGAGGGCGGAGAUAGGUGGUGGAGCGGGCUGGCGCGGGAGGCAGGAAAGGUGGGGUCCAUGGCGCUGCCCAUGGCCGCGAUGAGCGUGGCGCAGAACGCCGUGCAGGUGGCGUCCAACAUGAUGGUGGGGCACCUCCCCGGCGUCCUCCCGCUCUCCGCCUCCGCCAUCGCCACCUCCCUCGCCAGCGUCUCCGGCUUCAGCCUCCUCGUUGGAAUGGCAAGUGGAUUAGAAACUCUCUGCGGUCAAGCUUAUGGGGCAAAACAGUAUGACAAGUUAGGAGUGCAAACCUACAGAGCAAUAGUCACACUAACAGUAGUCACAAUUCCCAUCUCACUUCUAUGGGUAUUCAUAGGCAAACUCUUGACCCUAAUAGGUCAGGACCCCGUGAUCUCACAUGAAGCUGGAAGAUACAUAGUGUGGUUGAUUCCAGGACUCUUCGCAUACGCGGUCUGCCAGCCUCUCACAAAAUUUCUGCAGUCUCAGAGUCUAAUAUUUCCCAUGCUCUGGUCCUCCAUUGCAACUCUGCUCCUGCACAUCCCUCUGUCUUGGCUGUUGGUGUUCAAGACCAGCAUGGGAUUUACUGGAGCUGCUUUAGCAAUUAGCAUAUCUUACUGGUUGAAUACAUUCAUGCUCGCUGCAUACAUCAGAUUCUCAUGUUCUUGUAAGGUGACUCGCUCGCCUCCUACAAUCGAGGCAUUCAGAGGAGUCGGUUUGUUUCUGCGAAUAGCACUACCAUCUGCACUAAUGUUAUGUUUUGAAUGGUGGUCAUUUGAGAUCCUUGUUCUCCUGUCAGGACUUCUACCCAACCCAGAGCUUGAAAGUUCAGUUCUUUCCAUAUGCUUGACGACUACCUCUUUGAUGUAUACUAUACCAUAUGGUCUUGGAGGCGCUGCAAGCACUCGAGUAGCAAAUGAGUUAGGCGCUGGGAAUCCUGAAGGAGCUCGAUCGGCUGUUCACCUUGUAAUGUCUAUUGCUGGGACAGAGGCAGUUCUUGUUACUGGGAUGCUGUUUGCAGCACAGCGCAUCUUGGGCUAUGCUUACAGCAGUGAUGAGGAGGUUGUCACAUAUUUCACCUCAAUGGUUCCUUUUGUGUGCAUCUCAGUUGCUGCUGAUAGCCUACAAGGAGUUUUAUCAGGUUACAUUUCCUAACAUUUGAUUUAUCUGUUAAUUAUUCAUUCCCUUCAAAAGAAUGGAAAAAAUGGAGUAUUCAGCUAUGCCUGAAGUUUUCGAAAAUUUGAUCUAACUGGCCUUGCCUCUCUCUUAUUUCAUUUUUUUUAUAUAACUGGUUCUUAUAGUUUUGGGGCCAUUACAUUUACACCAUUCAGUAUCUUUAGCCUGUUAGCCCAACGGUAUCUUUUACCCCUUAGUUUGAUUGCUUAAUUCAAUGUGUGCGCUGUUGUCAAAUCUCUACCAAGACCUCAGGUAGCAAGUUAAUUUCAGUCACUCCGGUAUCGUAAAGACAUACCAGGUAACUUGCCGCUUCUUGUUUUUCCUUUGUUCAAUGAAACUAAUGCUAUUUUGUGUUGUGGAGGCCGACAUUGUUACUCGGGGAGUUACCUGUUUGUUCCUUCAAACAUGUGCUCUUACGUGAACAUGGAUAUGGUGGUGUUUACAAUCAACACGCAUCUAUCAGCGAUGUCGUCUUAAGUGUGGACUCCACUUCACUAAGUAUUGCUCGGGGUUGCGGAUGGCAGCACCUGGGAGCCUAUGUAAACCUCGGUUCAUUCUACCUGGUUGGCAUUCCGGUAGCCCUACUUCUUGGCUUUGGUUUCAAGAUGGAAGGCAAAGGGCUUUGGCUGGGCAUCGCCUGUGGUUCCGUAUUACAAUUCUUGCUUCUCGCCGUCAUUGCAUUCUUCAGCAACUGGCAAAAGAUGGCCGAGAAAGCGAGGGAGAGAAUUUUCGGCGAGACACCGUCAGAGAAGCAACAUUUGGUGCUUGAUGCAACGAAUUCGGUCUGAUUCUGCAUCCUGAUCCGUUGACGCGAACUGAAGCGGAUGAUCGGAUCAUGUGGAGGAGACUGGCUCCUCUGGAUGUGUAGGGAAUCUGCUGAAGAAGUAAAGCAGUGUGCAUAGUUGUACUGUUGCAUUUGUUGGAUCCGGGAGAAUGUAUCAAGAACUCUAUGUGAAAUGUAUGAUGGCGAUAUGUAUGUACGAGAUCGAGGUUCCGAAUACUUCCAGCCUAUAGAAGUAUAGAUAAAUUUUCCA